rnacentral:rRNA from 1 species
AUGGAUGUUAAGACUGCUUUCCUAAAUGGAGAGUUGGACGAGGAAAUUUAUAUGGAACAACCAGAUGGGUUUGUACUAGAUGGUCAGGAAGGGAAAGUGUGCAAGUUGCUGAAGUCUUUGUACGGACUUAAGCCAGCACCCAAACAGUGGCAUGAGAAGUUUGAAAGAACUUUAACAGCUGCAGGCUUUGUUGUAAACGAAGCUGACAAAUGUGUGUACUAUCGCCAUGGUGGGGGCGAGGGAGUUAUCCUUUGCUUGUAUGUUGAUGACAUACUGAUUUUCGGAACAAAUCUGAAUGUUAUUAAGGAGGUCAAGGAUUUCCUAUCUCGUUGUUUUGAGAUGAAGGAUUUAGGAGUGGCUGAUGUCAUUUUAAACAUCAAGUUGUUGAGAGACGAUGAUGGUGGGAUUACAUUGCUUCAAUCUCACUAUGUGGAAAAGAUCUUGAGUCGCUUUGGCUAUAGUGACUGCAAGCCCUCUCCAACACCAUAUGAUGCGAGUGUGUUACUUCGAAAGAAUCGAAGAAUUGCUAGAGAUCAAUUGAAAUAUUCUCAUAUUAUUGGCUCACUUAUGUACUUAGCCAGUGCUAGAAGACUUGACAUCUCUUUUGCUGUUAGCAAACUGAGUCGGUUUGUCUCAAAACCAGGAGAUGUGCAUUGGAAAGCUCUAGAGAGAGUUUUGCGUUAUUUGAAAGGCACUGUGAAUUAUGGAGUUCACUACACUGGGCACCCAAAGGUG